rnacentral:lncRNA from 1 species
CCUUUUUUGUUGACCAGUCUUGAAUACUGCUGAAAGGUGACACACUGAAGCACAUACUGAGAUGCACAGCUGGACCAUGGACAGCGAGUGAGAGACCUUGGAGCACUCAGUCCUAAAUGGGAUGCCUGCAUGAAUUCCUUUCCCUCAGGACUCAAGAGAAUCCUCUGAAAGAGGAGGCAGAAAAAUUGUAAGAUACAGACUGGACGGCAGACACUAAGGAAACAAGGCUUUCAGAACACAGCAUGACUGACACACACGUGAGCUUACAGAGACUGUGGCAGCAGGCACAGGGCCUCUGUGGGUCUGCACCAGAUGUGACCCCAGUGCCGAAGUGGACACAAGCCCUCAUCUCUAAUUCAGAAGCCAUAUCUAAUUGAUAACUGCUUGCAAAUG